rnacentral:rRNA from 1 species
UACGUAGGGUCCGAGCGUUGUCCGGAAUUAUUGGGCGUAAAGGGCUCGUAGGCGGUUUGUCGCGUCGGGAGUGAAAACUCAGGGCUCAACCCUGAGCGUGCUUCCGAUACGGGCAGACUAGAGGUAUUCAGGGGAGAACGGAAUUCCUGGUGUGAGCGGUGGAAUGCGCAGAUAUCAGGAGGAACACCGGUGGCGAAGGCGGUUCUCUGGGCAUGACCUGACGCUGAGGAGCGAAAGUGUGGGGAGCGAACAGG